rnacentral:rRNA from 1 species
UACGUAGGGGGCAAGCGUUGUCCGGAUUUAUUGGGCGUAAAGAGCGUGUAGGCGGCCAUACAGGUCAGCUGUGAAAACUCGAGGCUCAACCUCGAGACGUCGGUUGAAACCGUAUGGCUAGAGUCCGGAAGAGGAGAGUGGAAUUCCCGGUGUAGCGGUGAAAUGCGCAGAUAUCGGGAGGAACACCGGUGGCGAAGGCGGUUCUCUGGGCCUGUACUGACGCUGAGGAGCGAAAGCGUGGGGAGCGAACAGG